CGAUCAUCUGGAUGCGGGAAAGAUGAAAUUCCUUGUUCAUUGACGUCCAGAAUGCAGGACCAAGGCGUGGCCACAGGCACAAUCUGACAAUGUGCAUCACAAGAUAGUUGCUGAUGCGGCCGUCAGAUGCAUUCAGAUAAGGCUCGCCCGCACAGCUGAUGGCAUGGAGCUCGUUGGUGUCGCUGCCAUUUAGGGUGGGAUAGCGCACCUCAUCCUCUUCGAUAUCGUCGGCAGAGUCGAAAUUCUCCUCAUUAAUGGUGGAUAUCACCAUUGUGUGCGACAUUUUCUGGCUUUAAGUUGGCCAGCGACGAGUAUCAUUUGCUUGGAUGGAGAAGAGUGCCGUUUCACCGGCAGUGACUUUUGGCCAAGGUCUUCAGGACUGUGGAUCCUCCGGCAAGGACACCUCGCCGCCGUUGCGAUGUAAGUCCAACCACUCAUCGGAGCUCAGAGGCAGAACCUCAGUGCCAUUGAGACCGGCAAAGGCGCGAUCGAUUCACAUAAGAUUGAUUAGUCCCAGUGAAGGAGCUUAAAGGAGUGCCGAAUGUUACUCUUCACCAGAUUGGCCUGCGAACCUGCAAAAUAAAGUUAAAGGAUCGUGUACCUCUUUGGAAUUCAUCUGGAUAGCACAAGCAGAAUAGCCACCUCGAUUAAGUUACAACCCUAGGUCGAGCCUUGGCCAGGCCAUUAGCUCGGGCCAGCACCAUUGCACCGUCCUCGUGUCUGGUGAAAUUUCUGGAAGCUUCCUACUGACAAAUUGACGCACAAGACAUGGAGAGUACAUGUUAUAACGAGAAGGGACGUGUGAGACGCUUCUUACGCGUCACAACUUUUA